GACGAACGCUGGCGGCGUGCUUAACACAUGCAAGUCGAGCGGUAAGGCCCUUUCGGGGGUACACGAGCGGCGAACGGGUGAGUAACACGUGGGUGACCUGCCCUCAGCUCUGGGAUAAGCCUGGGAAACCGGGUCUAAUACCGGAUAUGACUCCAUGACGCAUGUUGUGGGGUGGAAAGCCUUGUGCGGCUGAGGAUGGGCCCGCGGCCUAUCAGCUUGUUGGUGGGGUGAUGGCCUACCAAGGCGACGACGGGUAGCCGGCCUGAGAGGGCGACCGGCCACACUAGGACUGAGACACGGCCCAGACUCCUACGGGAGGCAGCAGUGGGGAAUCUUGCGCAAUGGGCGAAAGCCUGACGCAGCGACGCCGCGUGAGGGAUGACGGCCUGGUGUAAC
rnacentral:rRNA from 1 species